UACGUAGGGGGCUAGCGUUGUCCGGAAUCAUUGGGCGUAAAGAGCGUGUAGGCGGCCAGGUAGGUCCGCUGUGAAAGUCCGAGGCUCAACCUCGGAAUGUCGGCGGAAACCCUCUGGCUAGAGUCCGGAAGAGGAGAGUGGAAUUCCCGGUGUAGCGGUGAAAUGCGCAGAUAUCGGGAAGAACACCCGUGGCGAAGGCGGCUCUCUGGAACGGUACUGACGCUGAGACGCGAAAGCGUGGGGAGCGAACAGG
rnacentral:rRNA from 1 species